rnacentral:lncRNA from 1 species
CGCACGUACGCACGCACAACUAGUAGCUGCAGAGGUUAAACCGUGUGUAGUCAGGCAAGGACCACUCCUAGGGUCACGGCUUAGUCAGACACCCUGGGCUGUUGACCUGUUUGGAUGAUGCACACCCACGAGGAGUGGCCAAGACAACUGCUCUGGGGCGUGAUCUGCAGGGACACUUCCUAACGCACCUCGGAAGCAGUAGGCGUCGAAGCGUGCUCCUGGCGCAGGAAAGCCGGUGCGGUUGGCGAAGCGGUACACAGUGCGCACACCUGGGGCGGGGCCCCCGCAACGCCGGCGCGGAGUCUGGAUGGGGUAGCGCACGCUGCCGUCUGCCAGCCAGCCCGGGUCGCACUGGUCCAGGCCCUCGUGCCAGGCCAGGUGCAACUGCCCCACCGAGGCCAGCGCUGCACCCUGCCGCUGACAUUGUGCCCGCGCGCCCGCCAGGGUCAGUCGGCGGGCCGGGCCCACGUAAAAGACUUCACCUGGGAGAGGGAAAAAGUGGAGGUCAGAAGGGUGCGAGAAGGAGGGACGCGCGGACCUGUGGAUAGGAAGUUCAGGAGACGGGUGGCCCAAGUCCUGGCUCCAACUUUGGAGCUUUCUGAGGAGACUUAGCAGAACUUGAGGGCUGGAAAAACACCUGACACUUUCAAGGAGAGGUGGUCAGAUCCCACGUGCAGCUUUGGAGGGCACAAAGAAUUCGGAGAGAUUCAUGGGGCGUAGGAAAUACGGGACCUGGGACAGUACCUUACACUCACGGACAGGUGACGACAGGGUCCCAGACCCGCCUUGCCUUACCCCCUAGCUCGCGGGCAAAGCAGUAGACAUCGUAGAGUUCCUGCGGGUCGCGUCUCCCGUAGCUCCGAACACCCGGGAGACUGCUGCGGUCACCAUAGCAACCAGGACGCGACUGAGUGAUCGGGUACCUAACAGUACGAGGGGAGUGGCUAUUGCCGUGUGUUCUUGGAGCCUCUUUCUCCAGGAGCGACCCCCCAGUUCCAUGCCUCCCGCGCACCCCCUCACCGAACCGUGCGGUCUGAGAGCCAGCCCGCGUCGCAGUUGUCAAAGCCAUCUUCAAAGGCAGCCUGCAGGUGCCGUGGGGCAGCGAUGGUAGCAGAGCUUAGGCGACAAGCCUCCUGGGCCUCAGCGAAGACCCAGCUAGAGAAGCAGCAGAAAAAGGUUCUAGCAUGAAAAGUCUUGCCCCGUCCCGCUGACCCACUAUGAUGUCAACUGAGAUGACUUCCCACUCACCCUGAUCCCCAGCCACUAGGAGAAGCAGCCACAGCAGCAGGAGGCCUGAGGCCCACACAGAUCCGGCCCCCAUACUGGAGCUAGGAGCAAAGGAGAGGAAGGGAAGGUGAAUCGUGGCAUCCCCAAGACAUUCAACAUGGAGGAACCAGACAGUCCCAGGAAGAAUUAGAGCCAGAACUCAUAAAGGCCAGCAUGUUGCUGAAGGAACAUGCCACAGCAGAAGGGAAGCAGAAGCCAAGCAGGAUAUGUACCCAGAGAGAGCAUUUCAUUUCACAAUCAAGCAGUGAGGCCGGGGUGCGGCUUAGUGGUGCCACAUCUCAGCUCACAAGGGACCCUGGGUUCUGGCCCCAGCACCUCCCAGGCUUUCAUAGCCUUAGGUUCUGUUCCUAGCCCUUGUCACACUCCUGUGGAGCUCCCAGUUCUAGCCUCAGACCCCAGAACCCACUGAGUAUCUUCAAGGACCAGACUGCAGUCCUGCACAGCCCUCUAUGCGGGUUUGGUGACUCACUCUUAUGGUCCCACAUCUCAGCCCUGGAGCAGUGGAGGCAGUUUCAGCCCAACCUGAUGAGCACAGCAAGUCCUAUGCUAUGCCUCUGCCUCUUCCUUGCUGUGUGGUUUUAAGCAAGUAGCAUAGCUUCUCUGACUCUCUGUCCUUAUGGGUCAGAUGAGGACAACAGCUGACUAGAAGGGAUGGAUGACUGAACUUACACACAAUGCUUUGAGUAACUUGGCUUGAAGGAGAACAUUUUAGUUGUGGCUAAUAUUGUCACUAAACUUUGCACUGCCAAGUCUGAAGUCCUGCUUUUCAAGUCAGCUUCCACAAUCAGAUUGGGAGCUCCCAAGGGAAGCAGUGGGUCCCCAGGCCCUCCCCCAAGCCCAGUACUCCCAACAUAUAUGGCUUCCUCUGCCCUGGAGCUAUCCCCUCCAUAGGGGCCAUGACCCACUUGGCAUACAGUAGGCAGUUAUUGAGCACUUACUAUGAGCAAGGUCUACCUCGGAUGCCUGAAAUAUAUUUAUUACAAGGAUUCAACAAAACUUUGCCCCUCUCUCAACUCCGGCCUCAUACAGGGGUUCAAAGAGGUCAGGAGAAAGAGAGUCUGAGGCCACCUGCAAAUCUGCCCUUUAGCCUAUGGAAGUAGAGCAAGCCUUGUGGGUGGGGCCUCUAGAGCUCAGUUCCCUUCAGCCCUCCCUGUUUCUACAAACGCUAAAGGCUACUCCCGUCGACGAUCUGUCCUUGGUGCUGAACUCUGAGGCGUAUUGCCGGGCCUCUGAGCACAACCUGCCUCUGAACCCAGAGAGGGCUCGCUUUUUGCUUUGGGUUGCAGAGCAGAGCACAAGCUACCAAUUUGUAAAUGCCACAGACUCUAAUGCCAAUCCAGGCCAUCCCCGUUUCUUCAUUUUGGAACCCCAAGCCAAUGUGGGGUACCCUAGUACCUACGAUCACCCCAUUUUAAGAGGGAUAAAAGCCAGAAAAUGUGUUCUCUCAUUCUUUCUU